rnacentral:tRNA from 1 species
GGGGCGUAGCUCAGAUUGGUUAGAGCGCAUGCCUGUCACGCAUGAGGUCGCGGGUUCGAUCCCCGUCGUCCCC